UACGUAGGUUGCGAGCGUUAUUCGGAUUUACUGGGCGUAAAGAGCACCGAGGUGGCUUCUUAAGUUGGAUGUGAAAUCUCCUGGCUUAACCGGGAGGCGCCAUUCAAAACUGGGGAGCUUGAGGUCAGCAGGGGAAGGUGGAAUUCCCGGUGUAGUGGUGGAAUGCGUAGAGAUCGGGAGGAACACCGGUGGCGAAGGCGGCUUUCUGGUCUGUAACUGACGCUGAGGCGCGAAAGCGUGGGGAGCAAACAGG
rnacentral:rRNA from 1 species